CAGCUUUGAAACACCAGUUCCCGUACAGUCACCGAAGUUAAGCAAUGUCGAGCCUAGUCAGUACCUAGAUGAGUGACCGCUUGGGAACACCAGGUGCUGCGAG